rnacentral:rRNA from 1 species
GAUGAACGCUGGCGGCGUGCCUAAUACAUGCCAGUCGAGCGAACAGACGAGGAGCUUGCUCCUCUGACGUUAGCGGCGGACGGGUGAGUAACACGUGGAUAACCUACCUAUAAGACUGGGAUAACUUCGGGAAACCGGAGCUAAUACCGGAUAAUAUAUUGAACCGCAUGGUUCAAUAGUGAAAGACGGUUUUGCUGUCACUUAUAGAUGGAUCCGCGCCGCAUUAGCUAGUUGGUAAGGUAACGGCUUACCAAGGCAACGAUGCGUAGCCGACCUGAGAGGGUGAUCGGCCAGCCUGGAACUGAGACACGGUCCAGACUCCUACGGGAGGCAGCAGUAGGGAAUCUUCCGCAAUGGGCGAAAGCUUGACGGAGCAACGCCGCGUGAGUGAUGAAGGUCUUCGGAUCGUAAAACUCUGUUAUUAGGGAAGAACAAAUGUGUAAGUAACUAUGCACGUCUUGACGGUACCUAAUCAGAAAGCCACGGCUAACUACGUG